rnacentral:rRNA from 1 species
UGAGGGAAUAUUUGGGGUCAAUGGGCGAGAGCCUGAACCAGCCAAGUAGCGUGCAGGACGACGGCCCUAUGGGUUGUAAACUGCUUUUAUAUGGGGAUAAAGUGAGCUACGUGUAGCUUAUUGCAGGUACCAUAUGAAUAAGGACCGGCUAAUUCCGUGCCAGCAGCCGCGGUAAUACGGAAGGUCCAGGCGUUAUCCGGAUUUAUUGGGUUUAAAGGGAGCGUAGGCGGGCUAUUAAGUCAGCUGUGAAAUCCGGCGGCUCAACCGUCGGCCUGCAGUUGAUACUGGUGGUCUUGAGUGCGCGCAGAGGCGUUGGAAUUCAUGGUGUAGCGGUGAAAUGCUCAGAUAUCAUGAAGAACUCCGAUCGCGAAGGCAGAUGCCCGGAGCGCAACUGACGCUGAGGCUCGAAAGUGC